rnacentral:lncRNA from 1 species
GCUCCACCCUCCGUACCACGUGGGCCAGGCGCCCCGCAGCCUGAUCCCUCGGCUGAGGCGGGGUCAGAGGGCUAAGGGUGACUGACUGCCCAGUGCAUGGAUCUCAGCAGCACGGCUUGACUUUCGGGCGGCAGGCAAGGAUGCUAAUCCACAAGGUUCCUGAGUCCAACAUCCCUCCCUCCAAUGUGGGGCUCGAAUCCGCUAUUGCAACCAAACCCGGGUUCUGCCCGCAGGGUGGCGCAAUGACAAGAGCCACCAGGUGACCCUGGUAACUCCCGCACCUAGACCUACAGGAGCAGUUUUUCUGCAGCACCACAUCUGUAGCCCUGCAUGCCGCUGGCUCCAGUGUUGUGUGUGUGGUCAUGCUCCAUCCAGCCCAGCAGCAACUUUGGUGUUUGACACCCCUCGGGAGGCACCGCUUUGGAAGAGACUGGUGUGUGCGGAGCCCAAGAUGUGUUGGGAACAGCUAUCGUUUCUACUGCUUUGUCCCAUGCCUCUGGAGCUCCUGGGUUCCUGAACUUCAAGCUGGGCCCCAUCCUUCACCCUAUCAGGGCCCUGGGUGGAGCUGACUUCCAACAGUAUACAGUGGGUCUUGGUACUUCCUCCUUGGCAUUCGACAGUUGGUGUUUUUGAAGUCAGAGCCAUCCUCAGUAGGCUCCUAGGGGAUCGUAAGCGGCUUUCUCUGGGUGGAAACCUACUCCAUGCAGCCUUCAGCAAAGGUACCAGCAUCUGUCACUGGGAUGGGGAAGUCCGGUGAUCGUGUCAGCAUGGGCUACGGUGGACGGGGAAAGGCUCGUUCUGACACUAGACACCUGGGUCUCUAGCCCUAUGCCUGGAUUUGUCUGGGGAACUCUGCACCACACUGAUCCUGGCUUUCCCCAUUACCUGCUCCAUGCCAGGAUCCUACGGCUGUUGAUCCCCUCGGAAGUGAGACAUAAUGUCCCGGAGCAGAUGCUGAUGGGGACUCACUGUUGGGCCACCUGAUUUCUGUGUUCAUCUUCCCAGGCUCCACCUUUCAGAUCCCAUCCCUGGUGUCUGCAGUUACAACUUUACUAACCAGAACUUUGUUUCCAGCUUACGCUGAAAAGCAAAGGGUGACUUAGAAUAAAAAUGUAACAAAUAGCCCCAUAGCCCAAACCUUUUCUGCCAUGAUUUACUGUACCAGAUACCUAUAAGUGUCCAGGGCAAAUUAAACACAUCAAUAAAUGGCUUUCUUGUGUCUGUCCUGC